rnacentral:misc_RNA from 1 species
ACCGGUCGACGUUGCUGAACCGCGAAGUUGAUUGUUUUAGCUUGCACACGAUUCGUGCACCGGGAAACGAGAAAAAGAGAGAGGGAGUGAUAAAAAAAAGGAGGAGGGUAUGGUAGUGGGGUAACGUCACGACGCAUGUUCCGUACUAUCGAAUAUAUUCGAAUGACAGGUGGUGCGGCUUUACUGUCUCUCACUGUACGUGCUAUGCUACGCCGAGGUUAGUGCAAGUGUUCAUCGAGUUCGUGUGUGUUUAUUCCUUCUGUUUAUUUUGUUUAUUCGUGUCAAUUUGUGAUCGUGGAUAAAACCAUAAACAUAUAACAACGGAACGCACAUUUUUGGUAGGGUGUCGAGAGAGAGAGAGAGAGAGAGGGUAGAAGAAAAAACAGGAUUUGAGGAUAAAUAAAUAUAUUCUAGUGUCAUGAUCGCGCGUGGUGUUCAACGGAGUUGUCUGUAGAAGGUUUUUUGAGUCUUAUAUGAUGUAUCAUCCCGUGAAUUCGUACGAGCUGCCCAAGACAUUUGGCUCCGUAAGAAAAGCAUUAUUUGAAGGACGCACCAAUAGACGACGCAUAGAGCGGCGAGGAUUUUCGUUUUUGUGGUCCGGAAGCGAAGUUGGGACAUCUAUAUGGGGCAAUGCGUGUCUCGUAAGGCGGGCGCCGUCAUCGCAGCAUCCGAGCAUCACGGCUCGCCGUCAUACCGAAUUAUGGAGAAGCCCCCGAAGAAUCAAAACGAGAGCAAGGGUGCGACGAAGAGAGCGCCGUACACACGUGGCACAGCGACGUCAUUUGGUUUCCGCAGACGACCUUCAUCGGGAAUCCCGAUGCCCGUAGGGGCGUCCUACGGCAACGAUGGUACAGGAACGACGAUGCAUCAGCGUUCAAAGUCAGCGGGUCCGGAGCAAGAGCGUAGAAGGGACGAGGACAGUUGUCACCAGCGGUUCCACAGUUCGUCGUCGGGUCGCUCGACGCCGAGGCUCGCACCGCCCAAGAAAGAAGCUGCAUCGACGGUGAACGGACUGCGCACCAAUCGCUUUGGUUUUCGUCAGCCGCAGCCUCGAUACACCAACAAAGUUGGUGACAUUUCUAGCAGUCACAGCGCCAGUCAUUACAACCAAGAAAAAGUGAGUCAUCAGCAGCAUCAGUUGCUCCAAAAUCAUCAUCAGCAGCAGCAGCAGCAGCCUCAGCAAAUAUUCCAGCAGCAGCGCGACAUCCAUCAAGAAAGUUACGGGAUCGGUAGACAACUGGGACGCCCGGGGCACGAGCGUCAAUCUUACGUGACAGCACCGUCCUCGAAGCUGCGACCAUCACCUGUAAACAAUCCUCCGACGUACGCUCAUCAAACAGCCCCGAAUGCCGAGACCGAGCGACGCACUUCCGGGAUACCCGAACCCAUCAGCAAGUACACCCUCCACACUUCGCACUUGCCGCUGCCUCAAUUCGCCGUCAGAAUGAACGAGGCUAACCCCAAAGUGGCUAAAACCGUAGCCAAUCAGAGCAGAAAAGUGUCAACGACUUCUAAGGGCUCGAACAGCUCGAAGGAGGGCUCAGGCACCGAAGACUCGGGGCUUGGAAGCCAGCAGGGUUAUCCAGUCGAGCACGACAUCGCCCGGGACGCUGGUGUCGAUUAUCGCGACUCGGGGACAACGGCGCUCCGCAGAAACCACGGCAGACCGAGAAAUCUCCGAAUGGUACUCAGCGGUAAGAGCUUCGACGUCCGCGACGUCGAGGACGACAGUACGGUGACGGAAAUAUCCGUCAUACCUUUGCCAAAGUCUUUUGCAACCGGAGCCAACUUGAAUACCGGUUUCGUUCGAGAUCGCGCCGUUCAAUACCAGAGAGUACUGAACAAGGACAACAGAUACACCGAUUCGACGACUUCCAUGUCGACCACUUCGUCCGAGGGCUACGACGAAGGUCUCGGCGAAGAAAAAGUGUACAAAGACCGUUCCCACAACGAGAAAUUGGCCUCGAUAAAAUCGGACUUCAGUCCACCGAGCUCGGACGAUCCGGAAUACGGACACGGCGAAGCCAUGGCCGACGAGUACUCUCUCAGCUCCAGCGACGAAUGUCGCGGCAACAACAAUUCGCGCCAACAUCUCAAAACCAUUUCAAACGCUGCGAAAAGUGGCGCCCUACCAAAAAGUACCCUCCGCUCGGUUUUGCUGACCAUCGAAGAUCCCGCUUUCGCUGCUGCUGCCGCCACCACGACCAGCCUCAUCGACGACGAAACUUCACCCGUCGACAGCCUCGUCGAUAGUCUUACUGCGAGUAUCACACAGUCCGAUGGUAAAAAUUCGAGGAAAGAAUGCGUCAUGGAAAGGUCCGGAUGCACGUUGGAAGACGACAGCCCUGGGACUCCCACCAAUGCAUCCAACUCGCUCAGCCUCUCCGAGGGACGGGAAUUCUUUGAUGAUGAAAUCGCCGAUCAACCUGGACUCACUUUCGAUGACACCCUCAGAAACGGUGCCGAUACACAAUCGGUUGUUACCGCGAGCCAUCCUGUCACUGAAAACAGUCAUACACUCGUUGAAUCUGCUCCGAAAAGCAGUUUACUGCAGGGACGCAGCGUCGAAAACAGUCCGAUUCACGGCCGACGAAUCAGCCGUGCCGGAAGCGUCGGUACACUCUCACCCUGCGAAUCCAUCACUUCGGACGACCUCAUGCUCGACUACGAAUGCAGCGAGGAUCGCUCGUACGAUGAAUCGAACAGACGACUGGACUCGAAUACGGCUCUGCACGAGCUCGACGACGCAACUAUUAAGGACGUGAUGAGAGAAUGGAGUACAAUAAUGGGUACAGCUCAGAAUCAUUCCAAUUCGAAUUUGGCCAACAACAACGUCAGCACUGGCAACAAUAACAAUAAUCAUACGAACUCUGAAUCCGGGAUUGCCAAUGCAAGAACUUCGAGACUGUUGCGAAACAGAUCUGGCACCGAUUCACCGCGCUCGCUCGACAGCGUGCGAACCCGACAAGUUUCCAAUCCCUUCAGGCCAGUCUUCACGGGAAAUGUCCAAUCACCGAGUCUCGAUUCCGGUGACGAGGGCAGCCUCAGGGUUGAACGUUUCACUUAUCAUCAGGACAUUGUUUCCAUCAAGACUGAUCUGUUGAAACUCAUGCGAGUAGUUCAGGAGCCAGGAGAGAACGGUUUGACGAGGGCUGAAACUCUCAACCCAUUCAGCACGACUAUGGUGAAUGGCCUCUUUAACAACCUGAACGAAGAUGGAACUACGGACACGAGCACCAAUCCGAUUAACGGGAGUGUCAACGUUGCCGACGAACUGACAGACCUACGGAGACAAGUCGUUUUUCUACAAGGACAACUCGAAGACAAGGACAGAACGAUACAGCAACUUCAGAUGCAAAUAUCGAAGCAUCAAGAUCUCAGUCAGAGCAGCGCAUCGUCCAUGAACGGUAGUUCUUCCUUCAACAAAGACACGUGCAACGCAACAACGCAAACGGAAAAGAUGCGACCUGUAUCCGCUGGGCCUUCUUUACUGCAGUCACUUCCACAGGACAGUGGCAUGGGGCCUCUUGUUAGCUUCAGGAUCGGGAAGGUAGAGUGCGUCAGUCUGUGUGACUUAGUAUUGGGUUACUUGCUCUUGUGUACAUUCAAUCUACUGAUUUAUAUGCACCUCAUAAAUUUUCGGCCUUUACCAGCUCUGUGGUUCAAUUAAUGCCUGUAUUUUAAGAAAAGAAACUAAAGAUAACUGCAUGUGAUAUUAAUUCUAAAAGGUCUCGUUCGACCAAAACGUUAUGUCGUUCCUUUUUGUGUUGAAUUUUUUUUUCAAUUUUAUUCAUAGUGCAAUAGACACUAAACAAUUGUCAUAUCAAUUACCACGAGGAAUUGACACGGAUGCUUAACUCGUUUUAUCCGCAUGAAGUUAUAAGAAAUUUUUCAUUUUUUCUACCGUACAAACGCAUCAUAUUGAAAAUAUUGAAGUAACGACCUAGAACUUUCGUAUAUCGUAAAUCAUAUCGGAUCGUAAUUGGAUUCACAAUUAACAAUGUUUCAUGCUGCGAUGCUUAGCCGUGUGCGUUGGAGUGACUCGUGGAAUCGUCAACGUCCCCCAUCGCUCGCAGACAUCAACAUGACAAGGAAUCUUCGUAAGCCGAGCGACCGAUCGCCCCGUACGUCGAGACCUCGUCCUGACGAAACAGGAUCAAUACGACACAA